UCGAAGGUAGCAUAAUCAGUAGUCUUUUAAUUGAAGGCUGGAAUGAAUGGUUGGAUGAGAUAUUAACUGUUUCAUUUAAAAUUUAUAUAGAAUUUUAUUUUUUAGUUAAAAAGCUAAAAUUAUAUUAAAAGACGAGAAGACCCUAUAAAUCUUUAUAUUUUAUUUUUAUUAAUUAUUUAGAUAUUUUUAAUUUUUAUUAAUUAAAAUAUUUUAUUGGGGUGAUGUUAAAAUUUAAUAAACUUUUAAUUUUAAAAUACAUAAAUUUAUGGUUGUAUGAUCCAUCAUUGGUGAUUAAAAAUUUAAGUUACUUUAGGGAUAACAGCGUAAUUUUUUUGGAGAGUUCAUAUCGAUAAAAAAGAUUGCGACCUCGAUGUUGGAUUAA
rnacentral:rRNA from 1 species